CAGUAGCCGCGGUAAUACGAAGGGGGCUAGCGUUGCUCGGAAUGACUGGGCGUAAAGGGCGCGUAGGCGGAUGGCACAGUCAGAUGUGAAAUUCCCGGGCUUAACCUGGGGGCUGCAUUUGAUACGUGUUGUCUAGAGUGAGGAAGAGGGUCGUGGAAUUCCCAGUGUAGAGGUGAAAUUCGUAGAUAUUGGGAAGAACACCGGUGGCGAAGGCGGCGACCUGGUCCUUGACUGACGCUGAGGCGCGAAAGCGUGGGGAGCAAACAGGAUUAGAUACCCGCGUAGUCCCUGUCUCUUAUAA
rnacentral:rRNA from 1 species